rnacentral:rRNA from 1 species
UUGAAAGGGAAACGAUUGAAGUCAGUCGUACCGACGAGAAAUCAGCUUAUCGUGUGUUAACUUGUGGGCGUGCGUGAGCUUCGGCCUCGCUGUUUGCAUGUUUGUGCGCUUUGGGUGUACUUUUUCGUAUGGUUGGCCAACAUCAGUUUCGAUUACUAUAAAAUGACUGGCGGAAUGUAGCUUCGAUUUCGGUUGAAGUGUUAUAGCCUCUGGUAGAUGUGGUGAUUGAGACUGAGGAUUGCAACGAAUAUCCUUUGGGCUAUCCGUCUGGCCUCUGAAAGUUGCUUGGGUGCUGAAAGCUUGCUUAUGGUUAUCUAAGUUAACGGUCAAUAGGUUAGAACGUGAUUACAUUCGUUAAGGAUGUUGACGUA